GAUGAACGCUGGCUACAGGCUUAACACAUGCAAGUCGAGGGGAAACGACGGGGAAGCUUGCUUCCCCGGGCGUCGACCGGCGCACGGGUGAGUAACGCGUAUCCAACCUGCCUCUGACUGAGGGAUAACCCGUCGAAAGUCGGCCUAAUACCUCAUGGCAUCGUCUGCGGGCAUCCAACGACGAUUAAAGAUUUCAACGGUCAGGGAUGGGGAUGCGUCUGAUUAGCUAGUUGGCGGGGUAACGGCCCACCAAGGCGACGAUCAGUAGGGGUUCUGAGAGGAAGGUCCCCCACAUUGGAACUGAGACACGGUCCAAACUCCUACGGGAGGCAGCAGUGAGGAAUAUUGGUCAAUGGGCGAGAGCCUGAACCAGCCAAGUAGCGUGCAGGAUGACGGCCCUAUGGGUUGUAAACUGCUUUUAUGCGGGGAUAAAGUGAGGGACGUGUCCUUCAUUGCAGGUACCGCAUGAAUAAGGACCGGCUAAUUCCGUG
rnacentral:rRNA from 1 species